CACUGUAUAGCUACUCCAGCAUUAACCUUUUAAGUUAAAG
rnacentral:tRNA from 1 species